GUGGGGAAUAUUGGACAAUGGGCGAAAGCCUGAUCCAGCCAUGCCGCGUGUGUGAAGAAGGUCUUCGGAUUGUAAAGCACUUUAAGUUGGGAGGAAGGGCAGUAAGUUAAUACCUUGCUGUUUUGACGUUACCGACAGAAUAAGCACCGGCUAACUUCGUGCCAGCAGCCGCGGUAAUACGAAGGGUGCAAGCGUUAAUCGGAAUUACUGGGCGUAAAGCGCGCGUAGGUGGUUUUGUAAGUUGGAGGUGAAAUCCCCGGGCUCAACCUGGGAACUGCCUCCAAAACUGCAUGACUAGAGUACGGUAGAGGGUAGUGGAAUUUCCUGUGUAGCGGUGAAAUGCGUAGAUAUAGGAAGGAACACCAGUGGCGAAGGCGACUACCUGGACUGAUACUGACUCUGAGGUGCGAAAGCGUGGGGAGCAAACAGGAUUAGAAACCCCGGUAGUCC
rnacentral:rRNA from 1 species